UACGAAGGGUGCAAGCGUUAAUCGGAAUUACUGGGCGUAAAGCGUGCGUAGGCGGUGAGUUAAGUCUGUCGUGAAAUCCCCGGGCUCAACCUGGGAAUGGCGAUGGAUACUGGCUCGCUAGAGUGUGAUAGAGGAUGGUGGAAUUCCCGGUGUAGCGGUGAAAUGCGUAGAGAUCGGGAGGAACAUCAGUGGCGAAGGCGGCGAUCUGGGUCGAUACUGACGCUGAGGUGCGAAAGCGUGGGGAGCAAACAGG
rnacentral:rRNA from 1 species